GGAGUUAUAACAGGGAGAAGAUGUGGCAGACAUCCAUUUCAUGGUUCUCCGUUUCACCCAUAAUAUGUGAUUAUUAUUAUUUUUUUCUUUCUUCGUGACAGAUUGAAUGCAUGUAUUAACACAAGACACCUUUUAUGCAACAAGGGUCUAGCUCUGGUCCAGGGCUUUGUGAUGCUGAGAUAUACAUUAACCUCCUGGACCGGAGCGAAGAGGAAACUAUCCUCUGUACUAUUAGAAGUAGGUCAUCAUCACUGAACUCGCCAUCACUCUUGACGCUGAGACACAAGCGUCCAAAUGGUGUAUGUAUAUUGUACCCGUAUUCAAUAGGACUUCCAUAGUCUCAACAGAUACUAGUAUCGCUGUCGACCGUCCAGACUUAGGAGCUGGUGUAGCCUUGGAAACCCGUAAGGGAUUAGUCCAUGUAAAGACUUCACACAAUGGAACUGCCUCACAACUGUGAACAGAGAACUGCUUCUCUAAUUGUUCCAACAUUGUCUUGGGAGGUUUUUUUUCCGACGGUGAGUAGCGUAGGAAGGAUGUUGCUAGUUUGGAGUUUCUUGAUUGCCAGAUUGGAGACGGUUGGAUCCUUCUCGUGUGAACAGACUGCGCCAACACGGAGGAAGCAGGCAGGGAUAACAUUUUGUUCAGUUACUGUGAUGGAUGUAUCGAUACAUAUGUAGACAUUCAUUUAAUAUGUUAUCUAUGUUAUAUGAAAAUAAAUGUUUGAUGCAUUUGUCAAAUUUUUAACGUUUUUUUUUUGUCACGUGCGCUAGUAUAGUGUAAUGCCUUUCUUGAAUGCUCUUUCUCAAUAACAAAGUCAAGUAGAACAACACAAGAAAUUGAAUUCAGAAGAACACGAGAAUGUAGGUAAGCUAUAUACAGGGUAAUUUCCAGUACCAUAUUAACAAUGCGCAGGGAUACUGUAGUGAUGGAGGUAGAUAUGUAUAGGGGGAAGGGAUUAGGGAUACUGUAGUGAUGGAGGUAGAUAUGUAUAGGGGGAAGGGGACAGGGAUACUGGAGUGAUGGAGGUAGAUAUGUAUAGGGGACAGGGAUACUGGAGUGAUGGAGGUAGAUAUGUAUAGGGGACAGGGAUACUGGAGUGAUGGA
rnacentral:lncRNA from 1 species